rnacentral:rRNA from 1 species
UACGUAGGUGGCAAGCGUUAUCCGGAUUUAUUGGGCGUAAAGGGAACGCAGGCGGUCUUUUAAGUCUGAUGUGAAAGCCUUCGGCUUAACCGGAGUAGUGCAUUGGAAACUGGGAGACUUGAGUGCAAAAGAGGAGAGUGGAACUCCAUGUGUAGCGGUGAAAUGCGUAGAUAUAUGGAAGAACACCAGUGGCGAAAGCGGCUCUCUGGUCUGUAACUGACGUUGAGGUUCGAAAGCGUGGGUAGCAAACAGG